rnacentral:rRNA from 1 species
UGCUAUGAACAAAGCACCCUAAAUGCACCCAAGCUUGUCAGAUCUCAAAAGCUAAGCACUGUUGGACCUGGCUGCUACUUGGAUGGGUGACCAGUCAGGAUUGGCAACAAGUGUUCUAAGCAU